CUUCCUGACACUUCUGGGGUCAAAAAAUACAAAAAACACAAAUCAGAAAAUGGGUAGCAUGUUCUAUAUGUACUGCACGUCUUACAGUUUUACUCUAAAUUCAUAAGAAUUGAUAUAUCCAUGCUCUGUCCACACAUGUGCUCCUUUAUAGAGAAAACCUAUAUAUUACAAAUACCUAGUCGGGCAUAAAGAGAUAUAAUAGAUACCAGCUGUGAUAAUUUCAGCCGUAGACUAGAAAAUGACAGUUCCAUAACAAACUUUAAGUUGGCUUGAAAAAGGUCAAUUAAACAUUAAAACAUUAAAACCAAAAAAAAAACAAAUCUAAAUAACUAAAGCAUUUUAAAUAAAUGGCUUAAAUCCAGUGUUAGAUAAAGAGAAGGAAAUAAAGAAACAUACAGAGAAAGAGUGGGACAAAUAAAGAAAAAAUAGAGAAAUAGAGAAAAAAAAAACUAUUAAAAAGUUAGUGACAGGUAGAGAGAGACAUAUACACAGUGAAAGAGAGUGAAGUAGAGAGAGAGACAUACAGAGAGAAAGAGAGAAAAAAGUAGAGAGACAUACAGAGAGAAAGAGAGAGAGAGAAAAAAAUCGUAGAGAGAGAGACAUACAGAGAAAAAGAGUGAGAAAAAGUAGAAAGAGAAAAAAGAGAAACAGAGAGACAUAUACAGAGAGAAAGAGAGAGAAAAGUAGAGAGAGACAUAUACAGAGAGAAAGAGAGAGAAAAGUCGAGAGAGACAUAUACAGAGAGAAAGAGAAAGAAAAGUAGAGAGAGACAUAUACAGAGAGAAAGAGAGAGAAAAGUAGAGAGACACAUAUACAGAGAGAAAGAGAGAGAAAAGUAGAGAGAGACAUAUACAGAGAGAAAGAGAGAGAAAAGUAGAGAGACACAUAUACAGAGAGAAAGAGAAGUAGAAAGAGAAAAAAGAAAAACGUAGAGAGACGUAUACAGAGAGAAAGAGAGAGAAAAGUAGAGAGAAAUAUAUACAGAGAGAAAGAGAAAAAAAAGUAGAAAGAGAAAAAAGAGAAACGUAGAGAGCAUGGAGCAUGGAUAGGUCAAUUAGCAUAAACAAAUUCAAAAUUAAAGUAAAAUUACUGAAAUUUGUAGUUAAUACAGUAUUCUUACUUGAGUCUCUACUGAAAAUUUGGGCUAAAUUGUUUAGAAGUGUAAAAGAAUAAUAUGUGUAUAAAUAAAUGUAUUUUAUUGGAAUAUUAAGUUGCAUAAUGAUGUAUGAGGAUUUCUUUAUUUCGAACAGUUAUAAUCUGUCUUAUCUGUGAUAGUUACUCUACUCAUAACGGUCCCUGUCUGUCAUAUUCUUCACUAAACAAUCAUUUGGAUCUAAAGUUUUAGGUGUUUUCUACAUCCAAAUAAUAGACCCAUAUUUACUUUUAUAUAUAUUUAUAUGAUGUGAUUGGGAGUCCUGGUCUCUUAUCUGUCAGGCCUCUCAGAGUAAUAAUGCACCUUUAACACUAAAAUAACACUAAAAGAAUGAAAUGAACUGAAGCGAUCUGAUCUUAGAUCAGUAUUCUUACUCUGAGAUGACUGAUAAUGAUGGGUCCUGAUCUUAGAAUACCACUCUGAAACACGUAAUGUGGGCUAAUAUUGUCUUACUGAUGUUAGCAAUAAAAUUGUAACGUGUAGUAGGGAAAGUAAUAGGGGAUAGUCAGGCACAACCUAACAUUUUUUUCUAAGCAAUUUGCACAUUUCUGACAAAAACAACGGAUAUCAAUGCAAAUAGUUGUACCAGUCACUGGAUAAGUUAGGAAAAUUGAUGCAAGCAAUUUGGAAGAAUUAAUUGGAUACAAACCAGACAAAACUACACAGUAAUUAAGAACAGCAUGAUAAAAUAGGGACU